rnacentral:lncRNA from 1 species
CACCCUGAAAUGAAUUCUCCCCGAAAUGAAUGAGCAAGGUCAGCCAUACCAAGCCCCCUGAGGAAAAGACAACUUAGGUUCUGUGGAGAAGUAUCAGUCGACCUUGGUCUCCCAAGAACUGGAGUCCCCCACUUGAAACAUGAACACUCUUCUCUACAGUGUCUCCAGAGGGACCUCCUCAAAUUCGUGGUCUCAUGGCCAGGACCUUCUACGCAGUCUCUAUGCCUGUCAUCUUUAGCUGCUGCUGACAGUUCUCGAUGCAAGGCUCCUCCCUGCCUCCAGCCCAGCCCCUCCUUUCCAGGCUACUUCUCGUCAAGCACUGGUCCCUGUCCUCCAAGUUUCCAACAUGGGGUCUGUAGCUGAAGUCCUGAGUCUGCCUGGAUACUCUGGGCCAACAUCUUUUCCUUUCAGGUUCAACUUAGGGGUUAUGGUCUCUGUGAAGCCUCCCCAGUGAGGAGUCAGAGAUUUCCUCCUGCUUCCAGGAGGCCCCAUGCUUAUGGCCGUUGUAGAACAUGACACACUCUGCUGUUGGGAUUGGGACAUGCAGACCUGUGAGUCCAAACCCCUUUCUAUCUUUGUAGAAGCAACAUCAGGAGAACUCAUGGAUACUUUGGGUACCAGGAUCUCAGUGGAGCAGUUCAUUCCACACUUGGAAAAGAAACUGACUUAGAAGGUGCCCUGAGGUCAGGAGAUAUGGCUGUCACGUUGCCUAAGGAGGCAGUCCAGGAUGGUGUGGGAGCUACAAAGCCCUUUCUGGUCUUCCAAUUCUGAGAAUAUCCUUCAAUUCUGAGAAUGCCCUGUGCAGGAGAAAGAGCAGAGAUGGUCUAAGAUCCCCCCCUGGCUGCCUAGGGUACAGGUGUGAUGACAGUCUGCCCACGUGACCCUGACCAGUUCAACUUGCAAUAAAUCAAGGGGAUGCUUUAAAGACUAGAACCUUACUGCUGCUGCUGCUGCUGCUGCUGCUACUACUAUUUGAGCUCAGGUCAAGUCCCUGAACCAGUGAACCCGGAAGGAACCUGCUGGUGAAGAGGGAGCCCAGACAGAGGAGAAGCAAGAGACGGACUUGGUGGAGUCUGUUUUGAACCUACUCUCUCAAGGGCUACAGUGGAGCUUAUGCAUGUGGCUUUGGGGAAACGGAACCCUCCGUUGGCCUUUGGAAUUCAGGAUGUGCACAGGCAUAGUCAACACUCACUCCUGUGUAGCUUGGUAGUGAUAAUGCUUCUGUCUCUCCUCUGCUCAGGGAGCUCUGUGGUAACAGAAGAUGAAGCAUGGUGAGAUACUGUGGUCCUUUCAUUUGUGUUGGAUGGAAGAUGCCCCUGUCAGCUGAGGAUCCUCAGCAAAGGGGUUAGAAGGGAGCAGAGAGAAGACACGCCUACAAAGGCCUUGCCAUUAAGCAUAGAGGAUGAUGGAGUGAACGGUAGUCCAAUUCUAACAUUGAUGUGGAGGGCCAUACCUUCCCAUGGGAUUCUGCCUUGUUAAAGUCAGGGCAUUGGUAAAUUCUCUGAGGAACA